rnacentral:rRNA from 1 species
AUUGAACGCUGGCGGAAUGCUUUACACAUGCAAGUCGAACGGCAGCACGGGGGUAACCCUGGUGGCGAGUGGCGAACGGGUGAGUAAUACAUCGGAACGUGCCCAAUCGUGGGGGAUCACGUAGCGAAAGCUACGCUAAUACCGCAUACGAUCUACGGAUGAAAGCGGGGGCACGGAAGAUCCCGCGCGAAUAGAGCGGCCGAUGGCAGAUUAGGUAGUUGGUGGGGUAAAGGCUCCCCAAGCCAACGAUCGGUAGCUGGUCUGAGAGGACGACCAGCCACACUGGGACUGAGACACGGUCCAGACUCCUACGGGAGGCAGCAGUGGGGAAUUUUGGACAAUGGGCGCAAGCCUGAUCCAGCCAUUCCGCGUGCAGGAUGAAGGCCUUCGGGUUGUAAACUGCUUUUGUACGGAACGAAACGGCCCUUUCUAAUACAGAGGGCUAAUGACGGUACCGUAAGAAUAAGCACCGGCUAACUACGUGCCAGCAGCCGCCGUAA